AAGCGGUAUGUGAUGACACAGGCAGGUCGCACAUGCAGUUCUAGUGGCUAAAGACAGAUGUUUCCUCGCAGAGCCGGGCACUCCUCCCCUCCCACCCAACAAGAACCUGUGUCCUUUUAAUCCCAGCUCAGCCCUGGGCAGCCCCGUGUGCCCAGUGACAUCUCCACGGUGUGCGGGACAAAGGCGGCCACGGACAGCAGGAAUUUCCCAAUACUUUGGCAUUUCAUUUCAGAGAACUGGACCCCAACCAGUCUGCAGCAGUGCUGGAUGUUGCAAUGCAGUUCCAGACUUUCCCCAGGCUGCCUGUGGAGUGACCAGUGCUUCACCUACAGUUGCAGAGGUCCAUUUUGAGGGGUUUUUUUCCCCCAGAAACACAACCCACAAAUACCAAGAUCCCAUAAAGGGAGAGGGAAAGGCGUCCACUGGAGGCAGAGGCUUGCAGCAGCUGCCCACUGCUGGGAACUCAGAAAAGAAGCCAGGACUCCAAAGAUUCGAGUGCAGCCAAUCAGCAAAGUGUCCUGCGAGAGAAUCCCAGCUCUGCCCAGCCCUAACAACUCACCAGAGGAUCCUCUGGCUCCUGUCUCCCAUGGUCUUUGAACCCCCUCCUGUGAAGCCUGCAGUGCCUCCAUCACUCCUCCCAUGAGCUAAGGACGGGCUCCCAGAGCUGUGGAGUGUGACAAUGGUGUUUGUGUCCAGUCUAUCAAACGCCAUUAUCACACUAAAUAGUUCCUGGCAGGCAAGGCAUCAGGGCAGGAAGGUUUGGGACCUCUGGCAGUAAGUACAUCUUCCCACUGUGCUGAGGAAUAAACGAGCGUGGCACAUGCACAGCAGGAUGACUCUGCUCCUUCUUUAGAGGCAAAAGCACCAGAAUACAUGAGAAAUCCAUACUCUGACACAGGCACUUCCAGAUCCCCUUUGUAAAGCACACCAGACAUCUGUCACCAUUAGGAAUGUGGAUUUCCUUGGCAUUAAUAGGGCUGUGUUUACCUCUGAGACGUCAGCUUGUGAUUUGCAUUGAAAAUGAACUGACCAGGAUAAUAAAACUGAGAGCAAUUAGCCAA